UUUUAAACUCACUUCGUUGACGUCCAUCCGGGUUUCUCUCCCUGAAGGACAGAAGCAUCAGUUUCAUGUUAAGUUUCCUGUGUGUGAAUGUUCCUGAUAGAAGUGACGCCAUGUUCUCACCUUUAGAUCUCUUCCAUGUGAAGAACAACACAACAAGAACAACCACCGUCGCUGCAGCCAGAAUGAUGAACCUCCACCAGCCUGCAAGUCAGAAUCCAAACGUCACAAAGCUUCUCUGUUUAAACACUUUCUCUCAUCUCCUCCCACAGCGAGAGUCCGCCCGGCCUUCAUCCUUCAGAAGGUGGUGAAGAGGCCGAGAGGAAACAUCCUCACUCACUUUGGCUGGUUGGAGAGUCGCUCUGUGCAGGUGGUGUAAUGUUGUCCUCCCCCGAUGGGCCUCCUUUGGUUUAGUGGAAUAUGAUAUGAAACACAGACACAAGAAAAGGAGGUGAAAUAAAUCAGUGUUUACUACCUGAGGAGACUGAAUGAGGAAUAAAAUGAUGUCGUCUUUUCACAAACGUACCUGUUUGUUCACAUGAGAACUGACUGCAGGCUUCAAACAGCAGAGUUUUUCCACUCUGAUUGUUUCUCACUUCACAUCUCAGUGACUUAUAAUACUUUGACUUCUGAUGAAGAGGAGCUUUAAACGUCACAGUAGCUUCACAAGCAGCGUGUGAUGUCGUCAUCACAUCAGUCUGUUUGCCGUCAUAAAGCCACUUUACUGUGUGUUCACACUCAGAGGAUCUCAACACAAAGCAGGACAACUCAACCGAACCCCCGUAGUCCUUUUCCUCCACUGGUGAAGAUGUUCAUAUUGUAAACACGUACAGAGAGACCACACCAUCUGGACCUUGUUGUUUUUCUGUUUCAUCAUAAUGUCUGUUGAUGUAACGACCAACAUCUUCACCUGAGACGUUUCUUAUAACCAGAGAACAGUUUGCUGUCAAACUCAGUCUGUUGGUUUUAGCUUCUGGAAUCAAAGCGUUAUUUCUAAACUUCCCAAGUGUAACCAGCUCCACAGUUGAUCCACUACGACUGUAAAGCCAAGUAGAACCGUCACAUCUGUCCUGAUUAGAAGGCAAAGUGACGUCAUCUCCGGCUCUGACGAGGAAGCGGGGGUCAGGGGGGGUUUGUCCUCUUACUAUUGACACAUUUGAAAGAACUGAGGUAAGAAUACAGAUGUUUAGACUCCAGUCACACGUGAUGAAGACAUCGAUAACAAACAGCA
ensembl:lncRNA